CUGAGAAAUCCCUCCCGCCUCUGCCAUGCCCGGCAAUCGCGUCCUUUAACGAGGACUCCGGGGCUGCUGCUGCUGUUUCACGGCACAUGGAUCCGGGGGAGGAGGUGCGAUGGGCUGACUCUCACGUGAUUUUCCUUCCUCCGCCUCGCCGGGCUCUCUCCCCCCCACCCUCCGGCGUCCUUCCCCAGCAGCCUAAGAGCUUCCAGGCAGGGGACAAGAGGGAGGGGGCGAGAGAGAAAGAGAGAGGCUGCCUACUUAUUUGGAAGCGCAUCCCGCUGGCACCGGCUUCCUUCCGAGGAAGCUUGAGCCGGGAUCGGGAUGUCCUGCGCUCACCGGCUGGAGAGAGGGGUAGUCCCGUGGAACUCGCUGCCUCUUUGCUUCUGAGCCCGCACAUUAGGCUGGAGGAGAUCGGGGGCAGGGGACUCAAAACCUCGCUUCCUUAACACACCUGCCGCCGCUGCCCCGAAGGAUCUUUUUCUUUAGCGAACUUCCCGGGAUGGGGUGUGGGUACUUGGGGCAGAGCUGUGUCCGCGCCGGGCCGUCUGCUUUGCCGCUUUACGAUCCUCUCGGAGCGCGAUAGUCUCCUUCGAGGCGGGGCCGGUCCGGUGUGUGUGUGUGUUUGUUUUUGAAUCAGUGACAUUGUUUUUAAAAAGGAAAACUCGCGUGCAGCCGAAAAGGCUUCCUUCGUAGCCCACUGGUGCAAUAGACCUUUGCGAGAGAUCUUAAAAAUCUCCGGCUUGUUUGCAAUUCCGCCCCGCUCCCUUUACGUUCAAAAAUCGUCAUGUUUUGGCCAGCUCCCGCCAAGAACUUGUUAACACUUUGUCUGCGCGAUCCCUGCUAAUUUUUCCUUCACGCCUUUAUUUUUCUCCCUCUUUGGUUCAGAUCGGUGUGCUUAGUUUCAAAUGCUGGGGACAGCGGGAAGAGAAGCGUCGGCUUCAACCCAGUCGUGACGGCGCAUGAAAGGUGACUUCACCUGGCCAGUUUUGGCUACCGAGCCACAUAGCUUAACCCUUUCUAUCCCAGGGUCAGAAGCUGCCUUAAAUCUCAAUACUCCGCAAGCAGCCGAAGAAUGACGGAGAUGUUAACAAAGCAAAAGCAAAACCCACGAUAAGCUCCAGAGGCAACUCCUAACACAUUUACUUGGGUGCAAGUCCUGUUGAACAGCUUUCCCCAUUUCCCUGCUUUUAAAUUGUGAAUUUUUGACUCCGAUGAACUUUAGAUUGCUUUUAUAGGUUAAUUGGCUCUGAUUAUUUCUCUGUGGUGUUUGACUCAGAUGCUGAAUUUUUAAUGCUGGGGUUUGUUUACUGGUUUUAUUGUGUGGUGCUGUAAUUUAUUGUUGUACUUUAGUGUUUGGUUUAUGAACAGCACACAUAACACGGUUGUUGGGUGGCAUUUGAACAAUAUUAAUAAAGAAAUGCAGUGGCACUUACUUCAGAGGAAAUGUUCAUAGGAUUGUACUCACAGUCCAACAGAUGCUUAAUUUAUGCAUAAGCUACAUCAGCAUCAAAGGAGCUUUUAGGCAAAGGUGCAUAGGAUUUGGAUUCUUGAGGCUUCUUUAUUUCAUAGCUGAUGUUUUGGAAAGCUUAAGUGGCACAUUAUUGUUAAGAAACUUCUCUGCAACCAUGAGAAAUGAAAAUGUUUUCAUUUUAGCUUGGAAGAGAUCCCACUAAUUAGGAUCUGCAACUAGUGCCCAUUUCUGAAACAGAGUCUACCUUCAGCUUGGAUGGAGCUGUUCAUAACAACACAGCACAAUCCUAUCCAUCUUUCCUUGCAAAGAAGUUCCACUGUGUUCAGUGGGGUUUACUCUCCUAGAAGUGUGCAUAGGUGCGCAAAGUGCCAUAGCUCUGUGGUAGAGCAACUGCAUUGUAAGCAGAAGGGCCCAGAUUCAAUCCUGAAACCCCAAAUGGUUUUUGACAUUCUAGUGAGACAGUGGACAUGAUUUUCACCGCUUGACAGCUUCAAGAAAAAUGCAGAGACCAAAACCAACCCUUGUCUAUGGUGUUUAUUGACCUAAGGCCUUCAACACUGUAAAUUGUAAUGCCCUGUGGACUGUUCUUCUAAGAUAAAUUUGUGAACAUCCUUUGGCUCCUCCACGAUAACAUGACAGCAACAAUCGCAGAUAACAAUGGCUCUCAAAGCAAACCAUUUACAGUGGGAUACAUUUAUAAAUCAGUUUCAUACAAAAAAUAAGGUGGUAUACAACAACAACCCCAGUAUUAUAAUAAAAGCAUCAGGACACAUCAUUUGUUUGGCAGAAAAUCUCAGGUUUGAAAGACUAGUUUGCAUUUGAAGGCAUCUACCCCCAAACAUGCAAGUAUUUCUUUCGGAAGUUUAUGUUCUGUGGGAUACAGUCCCAAGCCUGUGGAACUGGAGGAAAGCGUAAAGGAAGAGUCAAAAGUUCAAGUUUGCAAACCUUUCGAAAUGGUAUGGUUAGCCUGGGCCCAUGGGUAUAGCAAGGGGGGGGGUGCAGCUGCUCCUACCUCCCAAAUCAAGCAAGUAAAUAAAAAUACUUA
rnacentral:lncRNA from 1 species